AGCAAUCAGUCACAGUGUAUCAACCCAGUUACCCAAGAAAGGGCUGAUAUAUUAGGUGUUACGAAUUCUUUAUUUGCCACUAGAAAUUUGUGAGCUCCUAAUUGCGUCACAGACUGGGUCCAGUCGUCCAGACCCACAUGUCAGUGAGAAAAUGGAUGGAUUCAGAUCUAAGACCACAUAUACAGCGGAAACUGCAUACCUGUAUGCUGUCAAUUGCCCCAAGCAGCAGUAACUGGGUGAUACAUUUGCUCCUGAC
rnacentral:lncRNA from 1 species